GUGUGCACGCGCGCGUGCGCACGCGCGUGUGCGUGUGCUGACCUUUCCACUUGGCCAACAUUCCUUUGUUUUUCUCAGCUCCUUCAAGUGGAUGGCUGUGGGAGGAGGAGCUGCUGGGAGAGUAGGUUCUCAGGAAACAUUUCCCCCAAAGCUCCAGAGACACGGAGCCCAGGAGACACGAGAAAAUGAGACUUAACCAGAAGGAGAGGUGUUCCAAGGGCAGUUCGAGGGGUGUGGGUGAGAGACAAGGAGAGACCCCUGGCAGAGAUCACUGUUAACCCUGGUGUGUGAGUGCCUGCGGGGGCAUGCUCCCAGGCAUCCUUGCCAGAGCAGCACCAUCAGCCUGGCACCUAGUGGGCAGGCUGAGCUUAUAAGGGCAGCCAAAGAUGGGUGGCCCUAGGCAAGUUGCUGCAUCUUGCCGGGACAUAUACGGCUCAGAGUAGGCCAGGGUCCUGGGUUUGCUAUUGUGGGAUCAGUUCACUCUCUCUCCUGCCCAGAGGCGCCUGGUUGGGAACUGUGGACUUUGGGGGCAGGAGCACCCCCUCCCAGCACCUUGACAAUUACCCCCUUUCUCUUCUGAGUCUCAAACCUGCCUGUCCUGCACCCUGGCCUGUCCUCUGGAGGUUAUCUGAUGAGGGCCUAUUCUAAGGCAGGGAGCCUAGGCCCCAGCUUCAGCGUCAAGCCACCCAGGACAUGCAUCCAGCCUGUUGGAGAAUGGCCUGGAGAAUGCAGAGAAGCUGCAGUGGGUGGGCACCUACACCUGUCUGGGACUGGGUUGAAGUCUGGCCACAUCUCAAGGGAAUGGCCAUGAGUGUUCCCAUCACGGGAUCCCAAGGGCAGCAUCGUCAGAGCAGUGGACUGGAAGCCUGGCUGAGGGUGCUGAAUGAGCAGGUCACUCUUUGGCCCUCACUGAGCACAGCGCCAAGCUUGCUACCCACCCACCCCAAUGUCACAGAGAAGCGAGAAGUACCUGUGGGCACACUGGAGCAUAGGCCUUGACGUCUGCAGUGCUCCGGGCAAAAGGACAAAUGGAGGCCCACACACCAGAAUCUAAAUAUUAAACAACCAUAAAUCAAGCUGCUAAUAAAAUGUGUUCCAUCCUCCUACUGAACAAAUAAGCUUUCAUAGCAGUAAAAACAUCUGUAAAUCUAUGGUUUUUAUGUCUGAAAGUCCGCAGAUAUCCAAAAUGAUGGAACUUAAUAAUUAUCACUCAUGUCCAGGUGUUCAGUGACCUGAGGUUUAAGUGAGAGAACGAAGACUUGCCUGAUGCCUAAGACAUUCUGUAUUUAUUCUGUAACAUUGAUUCUCCUCGUCUUUAUUCUAGUAAAACGAUUGAUUAUGUUGUUACAGUCAAGACUUCUACACUAUUACUGUUCUUUUCGUGGUAAUGAUUCAAAAGAUUAGAAUAAGGCUGGACAUGGUGGCUCACACAUGUAAUCCCAGCGCUUUGAGAAACCAAAGUGACAGGAUUGCUUGAGGCCAGCAGUUCAAGUUUAUAGUGAGCUAUGACUAUACUACUGCACUCCAGACCAGGCAACAGCACAAGACCCUGUCUCCAAAAAAAAAAAAAUUUUUUUAGAAAGACUAAAAUAAAAUAUUGGCCAGAUGUAGUGGCUCACACCUGUAAUCCCAGCACUUUGGGAUUCCAAGGCGGGUGGAUCACCUGAGGUCAGGAGUUCAAGACCAGCCUGGCCAA
rnacentral:lncRNA from 1 species